ACGUAGGAUGCAAGCGUUGUCCGGAAUUAUUGGGCGUAAAGCGAACGUAGGCGGUUACUUAAGUCUGGACUUAAAGACCGGGGCUCAACCCCGGGAAUGGUUCGGAUACUGGGUGACUAGAGGAUGUCAGAGGAAAGUGGAAUUCCAAGUGUAGCGGUGAAAUGCGUAGAUAUUUGGAGGAACACCAGUGGCGAAAGCGGCUUUCUGGGACAUUCCUGACGCUGAGGUUCGAAAGCUCGGGGAGCAAACAGGAUUAGAAACCCCUGUAGUCC
rnacentral:rRNA from 1 species